GGGCCCAUAGCUCAGCCUGGUUAGACAGAUUUUAACUGAAGUUAGGUCUGGAUUUUAGCGACUGCCUCUUAAGCAGUAGGUCCUGAGUCCGAAUCUCAGUGGGCCCG
rnacentral:tRNA from 1 species